CCUACGGGAGGCUGCAGUGAGGAAUAUUGCACAAUGGGGGAAAGCCUGAUGCAGCAAAGCCGCGUGAGUGAUGACGGCCUUCUGGUUGUAAAACUCUGUCUUCAGGGACGAUAAUGACGGUACCUGAGGCGGAAGCCACGGCUAACUACGUGCCAGCAGCCGCGGUAAUACGUAGGUGGCGAGCGUUAUCCGGAUUUUCUGGGCGUAAAGGGAGCGUAGGCGGACUUUUAAGUGAGAGGUGAAAUACUCGGGCUCAACCUGAGUGCUGCAUUUCAAACUGGAAGUCUAGAGUGCAGGAGAGGAGAACGGAAUGCCUGGUGUAGCGGUGAAAUGCGUAGAGAUCAGGAAGAACACCAGUGGCGAAGGCGAUUCUCUGGACUGUAACUGACGCUGAGGCUCGAAAGCGUGGGGAGCAAACAGGAUUAGAUACCCUUGUAGUC
rnacentral:rRNA from 1 species